GUUGCGUGUUGUGCGGGAUGUCCGAUGUUGAGCCAGGAACAACAAAGUUGUGGAGUAUAGAGUUGGUUCUUUAUUGGCAAGAUCUUGGGUUGUUUAAUGGCGGCCAAUGCACGAGGCACGGCAGCAGAUGAAACAACAGCUUCCUUCUCCAGGUCAGCUUCUUUUAUACUGCCCGGAAAGGCGGGAACUUGUCACAUGACCAUUUGAUACCUGAGUGUGGGGGUCAUUUCUUAUCUGUGGAAU